UGUUGCAGGAAUCUUAAGCUGGACUUUAUUUUGCAGAUGUUAAGACUAAAGAGUGCGAUUCCAAGCAGGCCAUGUUGGAAGACUGCUGCGGCCGCUGGGUCAGGCCGGUGUCCAGGUCACAUCCAGAAAAAGAGUAGAAGACAGAUCACUACCCACCUGCCAGUCAAUCUGCUCACUUGUCUGCCUUCCAGCCACUGCUUCUCAUUCCCUUGGCUCAGACCGACCAGUGUUCUCUGCUGCCAUCAUUUUCCCCCGCAGUCCCUGGAUCCCUCUCAUAGCCACCUGCCCACACCUUAACCCUCCUGUUUGCAUUAAAGGCUGUCUUACCAACUA